AGGAUCAGAGUUCAUCCAUGAAAAACAUUUUUGUUUCCCUCUUCUUCAUUUUUCUCGAUUAACGCCUCACAAAAACAAAAAUAAAGCAAAACAAAGAAUUGGAUAUUUUUGAUUUAAAUUUACGUGAAUACUUUAAGCAACGUUUUGUUUACUUGAUUCUUUAGCUUCUGACUGUGUCGAUCAUUUCUAAUUUCACUUUUAGAAUUCUAUUUUACAAAUUAAUAGCAGUAGAAACACCCAAGGAAUUUAUUGAAGUUAGUAGUUUGUUAUUAGUUGUGGUGUGAUAGAUUAAGUUUCUGAACAUUAAUUGUUUGUGUAAAUGCCUAACAGAAUAUCACUAUGUAAUUUUCGUUUAUUUUUGGUCUUUUUAUUGACUCAUUUAAAUUUCUUAGUUGGUGUCGUUUCCGGAAAUACUUUCGGCAGCUAAUACAUGUUGUGGAUUACUGCAAUGUAGAGGAGUUCUUCAUAGAGAUUUGAAGCCUUUGCACAGGGACGGAGCUGUUAAGGGACAAAUGGGGGCCAUACACCCCACUACUUUAUGAGAUUUGGUUAGAGAAGCUUAGGUAAUUUGUAGUUGUGGGGGCAAAGAUAAUUGGAAAAGUUGGAUCUUAUCAGAGUCAAAUUUAUUUUUAUUUUAUUUUUUCCUUUAUGUUAAAGAAAUAUCUCUCAUAGUCAUCACCCUCACAAGUUCACUCGAGUCAGGUAGUGGACCUAGUGGUCGAUCAUAUCACUUAUCAGAGACAAAGAACCAAGAUAAAGGAGAAGAAUGGAUUAAAAAAUACCAAGUAUGGAGAGAUACUUCAAAAAAGAAGGCAAGAUUUGCGGAUACAUCAUCAAAUUCAUCACCUUCAAAACGGCAUUGUACUAGAGAUGGGAAUGCAUCAUCUUCUCAACCUAAUACACCAGAACUACUCUAUGCAGGUUAGUAACGGGGAGUCUACAAGCUUUUGGAAGGAUGCUUGGUUGUCAAAUUUGACUCUACAGACUCAAUUCCCCGCGGUGUUUGAGGUAUGUGAUUCGAAGGAAAUAACGGUAGUCUGUGCUAGAACUUUUGUAAAUGAUGUAGUCAGUUGGGACUUAGGUAUUCAUAGAAGGGUGCAUGACCAAGUAGUGGAGGAGCUUACAGAGCUUAUUUUCUUGCUGGAAAAUUACACAAAGAGGGAUCUUGACAGCGAAGAUCACAGAGUGUGGAAGGGUAACAAGGCUAACGGGGUAUUCUCUGUUAAAGAUUGCUAUGAAUGGUUGUGUGUGAAUACUCCUCGUCCCUGAAGGUACGUGUAUGCCAAGAAAUUGUGGUCGAAGUGGUGGCCAACCAAGGUCAGUAUUUUCCUAUGGGUUGCAGGCUUCAACAAAAUUUCGACCCAAGAUAAUGUGUAAGAAAGGGUGGAGAUUUGAAUGGGUAAAUCAUUGUUAUAUGUGUGUGCAAGAUGGUGAGAGCUCUGAUCACCUUCUUCUCAAUUGUCCGACUGCGUGGAAGAUUUGGGGCUCUCUGUUAAAUGAAUGAUCUAUUAAAUGGGCAAUUCCUUGCGAUGUGAUUACGCUCUUGAACUCUUGGAAUUUUAAGCACAUAGUGGGUCGUAGAGUUGAAGUUUUGAAGGUCUUACCGGCUGCAGUUUUGUGAUGCUUAGGGAACGAGAGGAACGACAGAGCUUUCAACGACAAAAGCAAGACAGAGUCGGGAAUCAUUGAGUCGAUUAAGCUUACUAUUGCUUACUGGUUACAUAACAGAGGCCAGUUUUGCAACAUCUCCAUGGUGCAAUUUUUUAUCAGCUGGAAAGAAGUUAUAUUCCAAGGCGAAUCUGUUGUCUGUUUUUGUUCGAAUUCUACUUGUUUUUUCUGUGCUCCCUUUGUUUCAGGGCUUUUCUUUGUUUAGGUGGCUUCUUUAGCUUCUUUUUCUGUUUUUGGUCGAGGGCAUCGGGGAUGAUACUUCAUGUAUUCUUGACAUUUUUCAUCUAUAAUGAGGCAAUGAACAUUUCUAUUCCAA